rnacentral:rRNA from 1 species
UACGUAGGGUGCAAGCGUUAAUCGGAAUUACUGGGCGUAAAGCGUGCGCAGGCGGUUGUGCAAGAACCGACUGUGAAAUCCCCGGGCUUAACCUGGGAAUGGCAUUGGUGACUGCACGGCGUAGAGUGUGUCAGAGGGGGGGUAGAAUUCCAACGUGUAGCAGUGAAAUGCGUAGAGAUGAUGGAGGAACACCGGAUGGCGAAGGCAGCCCCCUGGGUCAAGAUUGACGCGUCAUGCACGAAA